UCAUCUGUGAGAUCUUUCAGAACAUUCCAGAGCUAACGCCGGAACGCCGCUUGCCAACCGUGUGACUCGGUGGCAUGCGAACACCAGCCGUGGUGUGAGUGGAGCGGUCAAAGAGGGACCCUGACUGGGACCGGAGCAGCAGACAGCCGCACUUACAAUUUUUUAAACAUGAAUUGGUGUCACACAACAUACAGGCCGACCAUUGUUACUGCUUAGCUGCGGACCGGGUUCGUGAGGAAGGACUUCAAUUCACACCAGAUGCAACUCACAUAGUCUCACACAACAUACAGGCCGACCAUUCUUACUGCUUAGCUACGGACCAGAUUCGUGAGAAUGUUAUUCAAUUCACACCAGCUGUAAAUCACAGAAGAGCUCUGAAGAAGGAAAGACAGCGUACUUUCCGCCUCAAGAAAAGUGUGCAACAGAUGAAGAAAUCAGCGAGAAGGAGAGCUACAGAAAGCUUGAUCAGUUUAGAUUUUUUA